rnacentral:rRNA from 1 species
AGUAGCUCAUGCCCCGCUUCCAGGAAAAGCCUCUAAGCUCUAGAUUAUCAUUAAUCGUACCCCAAACCGACACAGGUGGUCAGGUAGAGAAUACUCAGGCGCUUGAGAGAACUCGGGUGAAGGAACUAGGCAAAAUGGUGCCGUAACUUCGGGAGAAGGCACGCUGGCGCUAGGUGAAGUCCCUCGCGGAUGGAGCUGAAGCCAGUCGCAGAUACCAGCUGGCUGCAACUGUUUAUUAAAAACACAGCACUGUGCAAACACGAAAGUGGACGUAUACGGUGUGACGCCUGCCCGGUGCUGGAAGGUUAAUUGAUGGGGUUAUCCGUAAGGAGAAGCUCUUGAUCGAAGCCCCAGUAAACGGCGGCCGUAACUAUAACGGUCCUAAGGUAGCGAAAUUCCUUGUCGGGUAAGUUCCGACCUGCACGAAUGGCGUAAUGAUGGCCAGGCUGUCUCCACCCGAGACUCAGUGAAAUUGAACUCGCUGUGAAGAUGCAGUGUACCCGCGGCAAGACGGAAAGACCCCGUGAACCUUUACUAUAGCUUGACACUGAACAUUGAGCCUUGAUGUGUAGGAUAGGUGGGAGGCUUUGAAGUGUGGACGCCAGUCUGCAUGGAGCCAACCUUGAAAUACCACCCUUUAAUGUUUGAUGUUCUAACGUAGCCCCGUUAUCCGGGGUGCGGACAGUGUCUGGUGGGUAGUUUGACUGGGGCGGUCUCCUCCCAAAGAGUAACGGAGGAGCACGAAGGUUGGCUAAGCAUGGUCGGACAUCAUGCGGUUAGUGCAAAGGCAUAAGCCAGCUUGACUGCGAGAGUGACGGCUCGAGCAGGUACGAAAGUAGGUCUUAGUGAUCCGGUGGUUCUGAAUGGAAGGGCCAUCGCUCAACGGAUAAAAGGUACUCCGGGGAUAACAGGCUGAUACCGCCCAAGAGUUCAUAUCGACGGCGGUGUUUGGCACCUCGAUGUCGGCUCAUCACAUCCUGGGGCUGAAGUAGGUCCCAAGGGUACGGCUGUUCGCCGUUUAAAGUGGUACGCGAGCUGGGUUUAGAACGUCGUGAGACAGUUCGGUCCCUAUCUGCCGUGGGCGUUGGAAGAUUGAAAGGGGCUGCUCCUAGUACGAGAGGACCGGAGUGGACGCACCACUGGUGUUCGGGUUGUCAUGCCAAUGGCAUUGCCCGGUAGCUAAGUGCGGAAGAGAUAACCGCUGAAAGCAUCUAAGCGGGAAACUUGCCUUGAGAUGAGUCUUCCCUGACCCUUAAAGGGUCCUAAAGGAACGUUUAAGACUAAGACGUUGAUAGGUUGGGUGUGUAAGCGUAGCGAUACGUUGAGCUAACCAAUACUAAUGAACCGUGAGGCUUAACCUG